rnacentral:lncRNA from 1 species
UUGUCAAAUCCAACACCACCUUUAUCACAAUAGUUGCAUGGACUAAUAUCAUUUUUUCGUCUUUAACAUAGCACCUUAAACCACUCCCGGUUUUGGGUGGAGUUUGUGUUGCUCAGUCUUAUAUGUGUAAAAAGUCUGCCUUAAAAUACCCAAAGUCAUACUAAAGGCUUCGUUUUCAUGGUGUGUGUUGUGUAUUGUUAU